ACCAUUCUUUGAAGAAAUCCCUCUCAUAUGGUAGAUUGCAUAUUCAUCAUUUCUAUACUAUAGCAAUCUACAUGCUUUAAAUUAUUCUAAGUACCUCAUGGCAUGUUUUACACUAAUUAUCCUAUUAUAGCCAUGUUCUAGAAAUAGAGAGAUAUUCCAAGUUCUUAAAAGAAUAAGGUGUCAUGUAAGGAAUCCAAAUCCUUAGGACACUUAUAAAGGGAAUCUCUCUUUAUAUCUAGAAUCGUGAGACUAAUGUUUUUGUCUAAAUGACCUAAAUAGUCUCACAUAUAGAGAAUGAGUUUCUGAUACACCCAGCCCAGGUGGGGUUGGCCGAGGCCCAACAAAUUAGGGUUGCCCGGAGCCCAACAGUUCAUUAAGCACACCCAACACAGGGAAAGGCCCAAUCGCCCCAAAAGACUAGUCCAAUGGGGGAAGGGUGGCUCUCCCUUUUAAAGUGGCUUCCUCCUCCCAAGUUAAGCGAGGUGGGAUAAUUCUGAGGCUCACACGGUCGUCGUCCGACUACAAUUGGGCCAACUGGGCAAAUUGCGUCUUUGCCAAUGGGUAAUAGUGGAGGAUGUCCUCAUCAUUCCCACCUUCUUAAAAUGGGCCCUAGCUCUGAUACCAGAUGAUACACCCAGCCCAGGUGGGGUUGGCCGAGGCCCAACAAAUUAGGGUUGCCCGGAGCCCAACAGUUCAUUAAGCACACCCAACUCAGGGAAAGGCCCAAUCGCCCCAAAAGACUAGUCCAAUGGGGGAAGGGUGGCUCUCCCUUUUAAAGUGGCUUCCUCCUUCCAAGUUAAGCGAGGUGGGAUAAUUCUGAGGCUCACACGGUCGCCAUCCGACUACAAUUGGGCCAACUAGGCAAAUUGCGUCUUUGCCAAUGGGUAAUAGUGGAGGAUGUCCUCA
rnacentral:lncRNA from 1 species